GUUGAAAAAACAGGAUGAACAGGGAUCCCUUUAUAUGGUUCUUUAAUGCUUGUUGCUGGUUACUAAAUUGAAUAAAAUACAAAAAGGUAUUAUACUCUUUACAGCUUAAUUUUAUUAACUUUAUUAAAAACCCUAUCUGGGCUUAAUACAGACAAGCUGGCAUUAAUACAGGGCCAUUACAGAAAAAACAGGGCCAUUACAGAAAAAAACAGGGCAUUACAGAAAAACAGGGCCAU
rnacentral:lncRNA from 1 species